GAUGAACGCUGGCGGCGUGCCUAAUACAUGCAAGUCGAGCGAACAGAUAAGGAGCUUGCUCCUUUGACGUUAGCGGCGGACGGGUGAGUAACACGUGGGUAACCUACCUAUAAGGCUGGAAUAACUCCGGGAAACCGGGGCUAAUGCCGGAUAACAUUUAGAACCGCAUGGUUCUAAAGUGAAAGAUGGUUUUGCUAUCACUUAUAGAUGGACCCGCGCCGUAUUAGCUAGUUGGUAAGGUAACGGCUUACCAAGGCAACGAUACGUAGCCGACCUGAGAGGGUGAUCGGCCACACUGGAACUGAGACACGGUCCAGACUCCUACGGGAGGCAGCAGUAGGGAAUCUUCCGCAAUGGGCGAAAGCCUGACGGAGCAACGCCGCGUGAGUGAUGAAGGUCUUCGGAUCGUAAAACUCUGUUAUUAGGGAAGAACAAAUGUGUAAGUAACUCUGCACGUCUUGACGGUACCUAAUCAGAAAGCCACGGCUAACUACGUG
rnacentral:rRNA from 1 species